ACACAGCCCAGACUCCUACGGGAGGCAGCAGUAGGGAAUUUUCUGCAAUGGGCAAAAGCCUGACGGAGCAAUGCCGCGUGAAGGUAGAAGGCCCACGGGUCGUGAACUUAUUUUCCCGGAGAAGAAGAAAUGACGGUAUCUAGGGAAUAAGCAUCGACUAACUCUGUGCCAGCAACCACGGUAAUACAGAGGAUGCAAGCGUUAUCCAGAAUGAUUGGGCGUAAAGCGUCUGUAGGUGGCUUUUUAAGUCCGUCGUCAAAUCCCAGGGCUCAACCCUGGACAGGCGGUGGAAAAUACCAAGAUGGAGUAUGGUAGAGGCAGAGGGAAUUUCUGGUGGAGCGGUGAAAUGCGUAGAGAUCGAAAAGAACACCAACAGCGAAAGCACUCUGCUGGACCGACACUGACACUGAGAGACGAAAGCUAGGGGAGCGAAUGGGAUUAGAUACCCCAGUAGUCCUAGCCGUAAAUGAUGGAUACUAGGCGCUGUGCGUAUCGCCCCAUGCAGUGUUGUAGCUAACGCAUUAAGUAUCCUGCUUGGGGAGUACGUUCGCAAGAAUAAAACUCAAAGAAAUUGACGAGGGCCCGCACAAGAGGUGGAGCAUGUUGUUUAAUUCAAUGCAAAGUGAAGAACCUUACCAGGGCUUGACAUGCCGUGAAUCCUCUUGAAAGAGAGGGGUGCCUUCGGGAACGCGGGCACAGGUGGUGCAUGGCUGUUGUCAGCUCAUGCCGUAAGGUGUUGGGUUAAGUCCCGUAACGAGCGCAACCCUCGUGGUUAGUUGCCAUCGUUGAGUUUGGAACCCUGAACAGACUGCCGGUGAUAAGCCAGAGGAAGGUGAGGAUGACGUCAAGUCAUCAUGCCCCUUAUACCCUAGGCGACACACGUGCUACAAUGGCCGAGACAAAGGGUCGCGAUCCUGCGAGGGUGAGCUAACCCCAAAAAACCAUCCUCAGUUUGGAUUGCAGGCUUCAACUCGCCUGCAUGAAGCGAAAUCACUAGUAAUCGCCGGUCAGCUAUACACACCGCCCGUCACACUAUGGGAGCUGGCCAUGCCCGAAGUCGUUACCUUAACCGCAAGGAGGGGGUUUCUCUCACGUUUGGCAUAGUGGGCCCCCAGUGGGAGGAUCGCACGAUGGGCUAUUAGCUCAGUGGUAGAGCGUGCCCCUGAUAA
rfam:Capsicum annuum cultivar Zunla-1 unplaced genomic scaffold scaffold9117, whole genome shotgun sequence